UACAGAGGAGCCAAGCGUUGUCCGGAUUGACUGGGCGUAAAGCGCACGCAGGCGGUCGCGCGCGUGGGGUGUGAAAUCUGGCCGCUUAACGGCCAGGCGCCAUCCCAUACGGCGCGACUGGAGUGAUGCAGAGGUCGAUGGAAUUGCCGGUGUAGUGGUGAAAUGCGCAGAUAUCAGGAGGAACACCGAUUGCGAAGGCAGCUCGCUGGGACGUUACUGACGCUGAGACGGCGAAAAGCG
rnacentral:rRNA from 1 species